UACAGGAGGUCUCAAGCGUUGUUCGGAUUCAUUGGGCGUAAAGGGUGCGUAGGCGGCGCGGUAAGUCGGGUGUGAAAUCUUGGAGCUUAACUCCGAAACUGCAUUCGAUACUGCCGUGCUUGAGGACUGGAGAGGAGACUGGAAUUUACGGUGUAGCGGUGAAAUGCGUAGAUAUCGGGAGGAACACCGGUGGCGAAGGCGGCGACCUGGGACGAUACUGACGCUGAGGUGCGGAAAGCGUGGGGAGCAAACAGG
rnacentral:rRNA from 1 species